CAAGACCACAUUUUCAGGGGCGAUAGUGCAGAACCAAUUUCCAAUACUCAUCAUGGUAAAGAUAUAAGAAGGGAAGAAUUGAUAAAAGAAUAGUAUUGUGAAUGCGAUCCAAAAGAAUCUGAUUCGACUUAUGCCAGAAAAGCUUUCCGAUUUGAUACCGUGCAUGGAGUUGAGCAAAGUACAUGUGGGAAGUGUUGCCGGCCAAAUCAUCGAUCCAGGCCAUACCAGAAAUUUACGACAUAGACAUGCGAAUGACAAACCGAGGAGCUGUGUGCUCCAAACUAAGAGGACACCAUAACCAAAGCCCCAAUCAGCCAUCCCAUAAGUAUAUUUUUGCACAGCUGGAAUACUUGUAGCAUAGGCCGACUGAUAAGACAUGAGACCCAUAAUAGAAAUAAGAGAAUGCUCCUUUACGUUGAACGGUCCGGGAUUCAAAGUAAAGGCCCCCCACUUAGUCCUCCAAACUUUCGCCGGAAGGCACCAGGCAAGGAAUUGGCCAAAAGGAUAAAUCAUGAUCGUAACACAAUAAGGAGUAAUAGUCGUUGUCGGGUAACGAACGAUGAUAACAGUGAUAAGGCCGAGGAUGACGGUUCGAAGAGUAAUGACUGGCAUAUCCACAUCAUCCACAUUGCUGAUGGAUGCACGAACUUCUGGAUAGGGUGAGUCUUCUUCGAUAAAAUGACCGAUGGUUACUUCAUUCUUCACGUCUCCAGCUUCGAGAGCCUGCUCUGCAUCGUGAAUGAGACGAUUAUCUAAAUUGGGGUCAUCAAUAGGGCGUUCAGCAAUAUGACGGAGCUCCUUCUCUGCCUGUUCAACUUCAAGGUUUGUUACUGAAUUUUGAACAGGCUUAGGAUAUUCUUCAUGAUAUGGCUCGAUGACAAAAGUAUCGUUUAUUAUCUCAGGCUUCUCGUCCAUUAUGUAGGACCGCACCUAGGUACAGUGCUUCUUGUAGGCAGUGAUAAAGAUGGAGUGCGA
rnacentral:lncRNA from 1 species